GACGAACGCUGGCGGCGUGCCUAAUACAUGCAAGUCGAACGAGAGCGACCGGUGCUUGCACUGGUCAAUCUAGUGGCGAACGGGUGAGUAACACGUGGGUAACCUGCCCAUCAGAGGGGGAUAACAUUCGGAAACGGAUGCUAAAACCGCAUAGGUUCUUGAGUCGCAUGACUGAAGAAGGAAAAGAGGCUUCGGCUUCUGCUGAUGGAUGGACCCGCGGUGCAUUAGCUAGUUGGUGAGGUAACGGCUCACCAAGGCCGUGAUGCAUAGCCGACCUGAGAGGGUGAUCGGCCACAUUGGGACUGAGACACGGCCCAAACUCCUACGGGAGGCAGCAGUAGGGAAUCUUCCGCAAUGGACGCAAGUCUGACGGAGCAACGCCGCGUGAGUGAAGAAGGAUUUCGGUUCGUAAAACUCUGUUGUUAGAGAAGAACAGCGCAUAGAGUAAUCUGUUAUGCGGGGGACGGAUCUAACCAAAAGCC
rnacentral:rRNA from 1 species